rnacentral:lncRNA from 1 species
UGCACUUUCCGGUUUGCUUUCCAUUUCUCCUAAUUGGAAGCAGGGACAGACUUGAUCUUGUGCUUAAUUUUUCUGUUCGCUCCCACUUACAAGAUGGGCAAGAUGGCAGAAGGAUGAAUGAUUCUGAGGAAAGAGAUAAUAUCAUGCUGGAAGGGAUAUAUUGCACUGGUUACUUCUGACAACCAAGGCAGAUAUCAAGGCAGAGCAGGCAAGCCAGGCUCUUCUUAUCAGAAACCAGAGAGAGUCCCUUUCCCAUGUCCCUGGCAACGACAUGCGGUGGCACUGAGUGACACCAAGGUCCUGGCUGAAACUACAAUAGCAAACUGUUUCUCUGUAAACAACAGGAGAUAUACACUGAACUACAGAAAAGGUUUUGCAAGAGGAACUGACCAGCAGUCACCUUCAAAAUAUUUGUAAGAAUCCAGCAGAAAGAUAAUUAUGUUCAUAUGAGAAAUAAAUAUAUAACACUGUCACUGCAGGCCCCCAGCUGGGUAAUAAUUAGCAUUGACUGCAUGAUUGCAGAAGGCUGAUAAAUUUCUUUAUUCUUAUCCUAUACUAUAUUGUACUAUACUUAUAUUACACUAUAUAACACUUACAAGGACUAUCAUUAACUAACUAACUAGAAAACCCAUGACUCUCCCCUGAGAGUCCCAACACAGCUGUGGAUCCAGUUGGCCAGUGAAUCUGAACAACCAUCACCAGAAUCCAAUCAAGCAAUCACCUUGGGUAAACAAUCUCCAGAACACAUUCCACAUGGGCACAAACACUGAGCAGCAGCAAGUGAGAUAAGAAUUGUUUUGAUCAUUCUUUUCUCUGCUUCUCUCACAGCCUUCCCUGGGAAAAUCUGUGCCUGCUCUCUGUGGCCAGAGAGCUGCUGCUGUAUAGCAGAGUCUGAAAAUUACAUUUGAAAUAAAAUUCUAAAUCUUCCUUGUGACUUUUCAUAAAAAAACACAGGUUCUUGUAAGUUCUGGCCUAAAUGAAAGUAACAAUAUUUAUUAAAAAGCAUUUCAGUGAAAAGUUUCAAGCCAGCCUUUUCCAGAAGGUGAAGAUUUUUGAGAUAAAUGUGUGCCAGGAUAUUUAAGCAAAUGGUUCAGAAAAACCAUUCCUGAUGUCAAUGAACUUACCUAAUUACAUAUUUUUUUCAGAAGAACUUAAUGUAGCUGUCUGCAUCUAUUUAAUAGUCAAAUUCACUGAAAAAAAUGUCAAGAAGAUGAAAAGGUACAAUGAGAGAACUGCUGGUCCAUUUUGAGUAAAGUAUGAAGUUUUCAUGUUCCUUAUUGUGGUAGCACCUUUGAUGGGUUUUUCUGUGGUCCAGCUCUUCUCUGUGAGUUAUGCUACACAGUGUGGUAUGGGGGCUUUAAGCAUGCAUUUUGAUAGAUCUUAUAUAUUUCUUUUAAGUGGAAGAUAUUUACAAAUACAUGCUUGUCUCUCAGACUAUGAAAGAUGUGAGAGAAUAUUUACAAUUACUUUUAUACAUGCAUAUUUAUAUUGUUAGUUCGUACUGUUAGUACAAGACAUACUAGUAAUGACAUCUUUAUUUCUUCCUUCACCCUUCUAUCUUCUCAUUUUAUGCUUUAAGUCUAUAAAUAGGAUUUUCCUUCACUUCUAUAAGCUUAUAAUUAAUAAAUAGCAGAGCAUUAAUGCAGUACAAAAAGGUGAAUUCUCUAAGUUUCAAAAGAAAAAUAUUUCAAUUCCCUAUAUUUACUUCAGAACUCAGGAGAAAUAAUCACCUGAUAAAGGAAUACUUUCCUGUCCUCCUAGGUAUUGCUCAGUUCUUUUGACAUGCUAUGCACAGCAUGACUUUGCUAAAACAAGUAGAAGAUUACUGUUGGGCAGGAAAUCAUACAAUGUAAGUGCUCCCAGAAGAAAGCAGAGCUGUGUGAAAUGUCUGACACAAGUCUAGAGGCAAACCUUUGUGCAGUGGAAUAAGAUUAUGAAACUGAAGCGUUUGGUCCAUAUUUUCUAUUCUUGGAAUUCUGGUUUUGCUUGUAGCAUUAAUGAACCGUGGCUUAUUUUUUUUAGGUGUUAAGUUCUGCCCUUGACUGUGUUUGCUAGAUCCUUGUUCGUGCCUGUAGGAAGAUUGUUAAACACACAUUACGGAUGUAAACUGGAGUGAGUUGAAGGCCAAGUGUUCAUUUUAUCAAAUAUGCAGAAUAUAUCUUGUUUUGAAUCCAUUCCUGUGAGGACUGCAUUGCCCUUGACACAAAAGCUCUGCUCUGUUCUGAAGUGGAUUUCUGUGUUCUGGCUCCCCAAGGGAAUUGCCAGCAAGGCCAAGACACUGUGCUUACUGAUGAAUGCUUUCUGCUGCCUAGUGCAGCGCAGAGAUUUACUGACAUAUGGCAUUGCGUUACCAGGAGAUGUGGGGUUUGCAGGCCUGUCACUUGAAAGACAGUACAUAGCAAUCUGGAAAGGUCUUCAGAAAGGUGCCCUGACAGAUUUAGCAGAAGACAUCUGUGAAAGCUGAAAACAAGUUUGGGGUUUUUUGCAGGUGGUGAUACUUUCCUCAUCAGUUAUAUCCUCCUCACCUUUAAUUAAGAAGUGAAAGUUAACAGUGACUAUAAUAUAGUAUUUGGGUGAAACUCAGAAGUUUUAUAUUCUAAAAUAUAAAUAUUUUAUAUUUCCUUAAGCCAGAACAUGCUUAAGUAGUGUCUCUGAUGAAACACUCAGCUUCUAACAACUCAGACUUGAGCAGUAUUUCAGUUCCUGUACUUGUUUUUUCUCCAUUUAUGGAGAAAAACAAGAAAACUUCUGUUUACAAGCAGUACUCCUUGUCACUUUCUCAUUGCUGUUCAUUUGGUUACAGAGAAAAACCGUUAGCUCAAAUAAGUAGCAGGGAUCAGCAGAGCAGGAAGAUAAAGGACACUCUAGAGAUAAAACUAGAGAUUGUUUUAUGUGCUGCCUUUUUCUGAAUAGCACUAUGUGACAGAGAUGCAUUUACUCAGGCAUCUGCACCCAAGGAAAACUAUUUUGUAAUACUCUUUCCAGGUUGUUACUCCCUUUUUAGAUUCUUUGCCUUAUUUUCACCCCUGCUUUAUUUUAAUCACUAUUUAAUUACUAUUACAAAGGUCCACAGUCUAAAAUCAGGAUGGCUUCACCUAACCAAACUUUCUGGAAUAUCACAUUAAGUGUAAAGUGAGGUUAGCAAAUUUUCUCUCAAAAGCAGCACAAAAAUAGGUCACUUGUGCCCAUCUGUAUUGAAGGAAAUCUAAUUCAUGUGUGGAUUUUCUUUGCUGAUACCAAUAUAUCCAUUCUAUCAAAUC